rnacentral:lncRNA from 1 species
AAAGAAGAAGAUGAAAAAUACCAUAUUGUUCAUGAAGUUGCAUUUUAAUUUAUACUGAGUGUGCUGUCAUUUUGCUUUUUUUUUCUAUUUAAUUUCGUUUUUUUAUCAUAUAUAUAUUCGUACAUGCCAUGUUUCAACACGAUGGGAUCACUGGUUGAGUUGGUUUAGGCUUUGGUCUCCCAAUUCCCAUGACCUGGGUUUAACCCUUGCAGUCCAUACAACAUUUUUUGUGGUUUAGUUUUCUACUAUUU